AGUGAACGCUGGCGGUAGGCCUAACACAUGCAAGUCGAACGGCAGCACAGUAAGAGCUUGCUCUUACGGGUGGCGAGUGGCGGACGGGUGAGGAAUACAUCGGAAUCUACUUUUUCGUGGGGGGUAACGUAGGGAAACUUACGCUAAUACCGCAUACGACCUACGGGUGAAAGCAGGGGAUCUUCGGACCUUGCGCGAUUGAAUGAGCCGAUGUCGGAUUAGCUAGUUGGCGGGGUAAAGGCCCACCAAGGCGACGAUCCGUAGCUGGUCUGAGAGGAUGAUCAGCCACACUGGAACUGAGACACGGUCCAGACUCCUACGGGAGGCAGCAGUGGGGAAUAUUGGACAAUGGGCGCAAGCCUGAUCCAGCCAUACCGCGUGGGUGAAGAAGGCCUUCGGGCUGUAAAGCCCUUUUGUUGGGAAAGAAAAGCAGCAGGUUAAUACCCCGCUGUUCUGACGGUACCCAAAGAAUAAGCACCGGCUAACUUCGUG
rnacentral:rRNA from 1 species